UACGUAGGGGGCAAGCGUUGUCCGGAUUUAUUGGGCGUAAAGAGCGUGUAGGCGGACUCUUAAGUCGGUGGUGAAAUCCUGGAGCUCAACUCCAGAACUGCCUUCGAUACUGAGAGUCUCGAGUCCGGGAGAGGUGAGUGGAACUGCGAGUGUAGAGGUGAAAUUCGUAGAUAUUCGCAAGAACACCAGUGGCGAAGGCGGCUCACUGGCCCGGUACUGACGCUGAGGUGCGAAAGCGUGGGGAGCAAACAGG
rnacentral:rRNA from 1 species